rnacentral:pre_miRNA from 1 species
CUACUACUCCCUCUGUCCGGGAAUACUUGUCAUCAAAAUGGAUAAAAAAAGAUGAACUCAUCUCUUUUUAUCCAUUUUGAUGACAAGUAUUUCCGGAUGGAGGGAGUACAAC